GACGAACGCUGGCGGCGUGCUUAACACAUGCAAGUCGAGCGGUAAGGCCCUUUCGGGGGUACACGAGCGGCGAACGGGUGAGUAACACGUGGGUGACCUGCCUUUAGCUCUGGGAUAAGCCUGGGAAACUGGGUCUAAUACCGGAUAUGACCCUAUGGCGCAUGUUGUGGGGUGGAAAGCCUUGUGCGGCUAGGGAUGGGCCCGCGGCCUAUCAGCUUGUUGGUGGGGUGAUGGCCUACCAAGGCGACGACGGGUAGCCGGCCUGAGAGGGCGACCGGCCACACUGGGACUGAGACACGGCCCAGACUCCUACGGGAGGCAGCAGUGGGGAAUCUUGCGCAAUGGGCGAAAGCCUGACGCAUCGACGCCGCGUGAGGGAUGACGGCCUCGGUU
rnacentral:rRNA from 1 species